rnacentral:lncRNA from 1 species
GGUGCUUCAGCUCUUCUCCCAUCAGGUAAAAGGUUUCUCCUCUAUCAAGAGCGUCUUUUGCUAGUCUAUAUGCAUGCGAGUUCCCUGAGAUGUGAAUAUGCUGAAAGAUAAUCUCUUGAAAACAAGGUUUCUUAUUCUGAAUGUCUCUGAUAAUAGCUCCAAUCACUGAUUUAUCUGUGUCGAAACCUUUUUUGAAAACAAAAAUUUAGUUGUCGACUUUAAAAAUUAAACUGGAGUCGCCACCGAUCCUUUAUUAAAUGUGUGAUCGGCCCACCCUAUUUUGGUCAACGAAUUUUGAGAAAAUGAGUCCGGGAGUCAGUUACGCACGAGGAAGGGUUAGCACCCUCGUAACGCCCAAAAUCGGUACCAAAUUGAUCAUUUAAUGUCUUGGUGUCGAAGGUUAAAAAGAUUUUAAAAUCAACUCGAAUGAUUAAAUUUGAAAAAGGAUAAUCAAUUGUUCAAGUCAUGUAAAGAAAUCGAGUCCCAAUACAUUAGGGUACAAUUCCUCAUAAUCCCCGAACUUUGAAUAUCACUUUUAUUUUAUGCGAAAAUCUUCAUUUCGAGAAAGUAACAUGCCACACCCAAUACGUUAGGGCACGACAAGUUAAGUUCUCAAAAAUGAUUUUUAUACUCAUGCAUUUUAAAUAAAGAAUAUCCUCGGUUAUUUAAGAUUAACAAAAAAAAAAUCAGAACUCAAUACGUUAGGGCUCAAUUUUCCUCGAAAAUCCCAAACUUCGAAUAUUAUUUUUAUUCAAAAAAAACCUUUGAAUCAAGAGAAAAUGAUUUUGAUGUUUUGACAAAACCAAAAUAUAUCUUCUUGUUUAAAAAGAAAUGACAUAAUGUUAAUAUACAACAUGAAACACAUACCUUAAUUUUAAAUUAUAUUCGUAUGUGAAUUAUGAAAUGUCAAUGCAUAAAUAUACAUGUAUGCAAAAGUUAUGAAAAUAAAAGAAUAAUAAAAUAUAUAUAUAUAUAUAAUAUGUACAUGUAUUUACAAAAUAUGUAUAUAUAUAUUUAUCAAAAAAUAAAAGAAUAAAAAAAUAUAUUUAGAUUUAUACAGAUAUAUAAAUUAUUAAAUAUAUAUAAAAAAAUAUGAAAAUAUGUAUAUACAAAAAAAUUUAUGUAUAUAGGUAUAUAUAUAUGUACGUAAUAAUUAUGAAAAUAAGAUAAAAAAAAUAAAAGUAUAUAUAUGUGUAUAUAUUUACAAAAUAAAAGAUGUAUAAGUAUGUAUUGGAAGAUCGUGGAAAUACAUAUAUGCAUAUAUAUAAAUUAUAAAGUUUAAAAAAAAUUAGGAAAGUAAAAUAAAAAAUAUAAAAAAGUAUGUAUGUAUAAAAUAUAAUGUAUGUGAAGGUUAAAAAAAAUAAAAAAACAUAUAUAAAAAAAUAAAAUAAAACGCAUGAAUGAAAAUGUAUGCAUGCAUGUUCUAAAGCUUAAGAACACAUAUAUAUUAUAUAAAGAAAUAUGUAUAUAUAUACUAUAUAAAAAUGCAUGUAUAAGUUUAGAAAUAAUUAUAAAAAAUGAUAGUAAAUAAUAUGAUAAUAAUAAAUAAUGGUACAAUGAUAAUAGCAUAAAAAAUAAUAAAAAUAACUAAAAAAAAUGGACUCAAUUGAACUAAAACGGAAAAAAAUGGGGCAGAUUUGAAAUAAGUUAAAAAAGACCAACUUGAAUGCGCAAGCAAUAAUGGAGGACCAAAAGGGAAAUUAUUCCCACCUUCCAUAACGCUGCGCAGCGAGGGACCAAGUUGAACAGAAAUGAAAUUCGCGGCUAAUUUUUAAAAAACAAAAUGAGUUUAAUUGAAAUGCAUCACAAAAAGCAGGGGCUAAAUGCGCAAUUCUACCAUUAAAAGCCAGAACGCGCGGAUCCUCCCCUCUGGGUCGGGUCACCGCGCGGCUCUGGCCAUUUAAAACGGCGUCGUUUUGUCGUUUCAAUAAAAACAAAAUUUCCCUUUUAAAAAAAUUUGAUAGCCCAUUUUAAAACAAAAAAAAGAAUGCUGCCCCUUUUGCUCUGCUAGGGUUUCGACCCUAGCAUCCUUGCGCCGCCGUUCAUCAGCCUCCCCACCCAAAGCUUCGAUGACGGCGGAGAUGGUGGUGGCACGACGACCUCGGCGAACAGGUAAGUGUUUUUCCCUUCUUUUCUUUGUUAUUUUAGGUAAAAUAAAAUGAAAAAAAAAAGAAAAAAAAAAGAAAUAUGCAAAUAAAAAGAAAUGAUGAACACUUCAAAGUAAAAACAAAACCUUUGAAAAAACGAAUUUCCUCUGUAUUUCUCUCUAUUUUUGUACUUUUUUACACUCCAAAAACCCUGUAUUUACAUAUUGAAGUUGGCCUUUUAUAGCCAAAAUGGAAAUGAAAAAAAUCAAAAGAAAUCUGUAUUGUUCUCGAAUUUUUGCUAUUCUGUUUGUUUGUUACUGUAGGUAUGGUUGGAGGAGCGGCGUUUGCGGAGGUGUGGCGCACGUGGAGCGGGGUCGGCCCCGAGACGUGCGGCGCUGGAGGUUGCUGGUGGCUGCUAUGCAACUAAGGCUUUGCUUAGGUUUUUUUUAUUUAAUGUAUUGGGCUAUCUGGGCUUGUAUUUUGUUUGGGUUUAUUCUUUAAUGGGCCAGGCACAUUUGGGCUUAUACAAUCUGUUAAAGUCAUUUGGUAUCUUUUGAUUAUUAUUUUGGAGUCCCUAUAAGUCUAACCGAUUGAAGUCCCAGUGAGAUCCUAACUUUGUGCCUUCCAAACAUGCAGACGCUUCUGCUGCAAAUGGAGAGGAAAUAUUAUUGUGGAUGAUCGUCUUUAAGACCAGUAGUUCCCCCCUCAGAUCCCAACCCACCAGACCUGCCGCUGAUUUGAAGUUUCUACUUUCAAACGAUGCAUCGAAAUGGAUCGUUACUCUCGGUAUGUCCUCCUGGAUUCUGUAAUUUCUGUUCAUAUUAGCAGGGAUCUUAAUUGCUUUCAUUCCUUCAUGUUCUUCCAUAUGCCUCUGUAUGUUUUGUGCUAAAACUACUCUUGUUGUAUUUUGCCCCUCAUGUAUGAAUUGAUUUCUAGAAAACCAUAUUAACCAUAAAACAUAACAGAAGAGUCGGCAUUGAGCGCCGUUACCUCUCUUGAAAACCCAGAUUAGCCACUCCCAUAGAAUUUGAUUCGUAUUAUUCAUGACCUAGGAUAAAUGAAAAAACUGUCAAACUUCUGUUGUUGUGGGACAUUCACGGAAGAUAUGAAAGCUAUCUUCUGCCCAGGAGUAGCAACGGGGACAUCUAUCGUUUGAAAUGACUUUUCUGUACCUGAGAUUAGCAAGAUUAGGAAUAAAAUCCCAGGAAAUUCGCCAAAUAGUGAUUGCGAUUUUUGAAGGUGACUGUAGGCUCCAUAAUUUCCUGUAAAAUUCUUUAGUUUCGGUCUAUAAUAAAUAAUUAGUAGGAUCCAGAAUAACAUCUUGUAAUAGUUUAUAGGCACUGCGUACUGAAUACUCGCUGGAUAAUUCUCUUUUCUAAACUUGAGUAUCCUUGUGAUCAGUCUCUGUAAGAGGGAUCUGUAGAAUUUUCUGAGCAAUUUCUGCUUGAAAGGUACUAUUAAUCAAAUCCGACCUCUAUUUUCUGUUUGUAUUAUCAAUAAGAUCCGAGACUAACUGUAAUUCCCCAUUGUUUGAUUUGUUAUGUCCAUCAACUGUAUCGAUCCCCUGUAUCCAGCUAUCUUCCCCGAUAGAAAUUUUGUCUCAUCUGCCCACUCUCUAGCACAUCCCUUUUUGGAGAAGUCCCUUUGCUGCCCAUAUACUCUUCCAAGUAAGUGAAG